rnacentral:rRNA from 1 species
UACGGAGGGUGCGAGCGUUGUCCGGAAUCAUUGGGCGUAAAGGGCGCGUAGGUGGCCUGCUAAGCGUGCGGUGAAAGUCGGGGGCUCAACCCCCGAUCGGCCGUGCGAACUGGGAGGCUUGAGCACUGUAGAGGCAGGCGGAAUUCCGGGUGUAGCGGUGGAAUGCGUAGAGAUCCGGAAGAACACCGAUGGCGAAGGCAGCCUUCUGGGCCAACACUGACGCUCAUGCACGAAAGCGUGGGGAGCAAACAGG